GCAAAAAUCUUGAUGGGGAGUAGUAAGUGGUGUAACCCUGCAGAGAGCCGUCGGUUGGUGCAAGGCGGUGGGUCAAAUUACUGAAGCUCGCCCCGGAGUUGUCUGAGGGAAAAAAGUACUUCAGACCGGGCUUGCCCGUUAUAGCAUGCAAGAGGAUAAGAUUACUUAUCAAUUUGGGUGGUACCGCGGGAGAAACCUCUCGUCCCUUUU
rnacentral:ncRNA from 1 species